rnacentral:rRNA from 1 species
AUUGAACGCUGGCGGCAUGCCUUACACAUGCAAGUCGAACGGCAGCGGGGGAGAAGCUUGCUUUUCCUGCCGGCGAGUGGCGAACGGGUGAGUAAUACAUCGGAACGUGCCCUGUAGUGGGGGAUAACUAGUCGAAAGAUUAGCUAAUACCGCAUACGACCUGAGGGUGGAAGUGGGGGACCGCAAGGCCUCAUGCUCUAGGAGCGGCCGAUGUCUGAUUAGCUAGUUGGGGGGGUAAAGGCCUACCAAGGAGACGAUCAGUAGCUGGUCUGGGAGGACGAGCAGCCACACUGGGAAUGAGACACGGCCCAGACUCCUACGGGAGGCAGCAGUGGGGAAUUUUGGACAAUGGGCGAAAGCCUGAUCCAGCAAUGCCGCGUGUGUGAAGAAGGCCUUCGGGUUGUAAAGCACUUUUGUCCGGAAAGAAAUGGCUCUGGUUAAUACCUGGGGUCGAUGACGGUACCGGAAGAAUAAGGACCGGCUAACUACGUGCCAGCCGCCGCCGUAA